rnacentral:misc_RNA from 1 species
CUUCGAGCAAUUGCGGUCACGGAUACGAUUCCGGGACCACGCCUGGCUGAGGGUCGUUUAACAAACAUAACCAGACUGCUCGCGCAAGCGAGCGUAUGCCUGAGCGUUUCGUCUUGUUGCGUGUCUCGUACACGCACACACGGCGUCGCUCGAAACAAUGGCCAAACAGCAGACGUGUGUCGCACACGCGAGCAUGCGCGCUCGCGCUCGUUGUCUCUCUUUUUUUCUCUCUCUCACUGUGCGUGUGUCCGUCUUUCGAAAGCGGUGGCGGGCGCGCGCGCGCGCGGUGAUGAGAGAAGAGAAUAGAGGUUUUACAGACAGCUUGCGCAGCGCAUUUAUGCAUGCACGUGUGAUAAAGCGCCUUGAGCGUGUUUGAACGCGCGAUGUGUACAACACAUACACACACAGACUUAUAAAAACACACACACGUGUUGUUUGCGUCGAGUCCCGGAGCUCUUAGCGUGCGUUUUGACGCCGCGGGCGGACCGAUGCAACGCGCGCGCGUGUUCGUUUGUGCGUUGUGUACACAUAUAUAUAUAUACGCUCUUGGAAAAAAAACGCACGAGUGUCUUUUUUGAACGAAUUUCUUAACGACGACCUCAGAGCAGGCGAGACUACCCCCUAAUUUUAAAAAUAUA